GACGUAGGGCGCGAGCGUUGUCCGGAUUUAUUGGGCGUAAAGAGCUCGUAGGUGGUUUGUCGCGUUGUUCGUGAAAACUCACAGCUUAACUGUGGGCGUGCGGGCGAUACGGGCAGACUGGAGUACUGCAGGGGAGACUGGAAUUCCUGGUGUAGCGGUGGAAUGCGCAGAUAGUCAGGAGGAACACCGGUGGCGGAAGGCGGGUCUCUGGGCAGUAACUGACGCUGGAGGAG
rnacentral:rRNA from 1 species